GGGCCCGCACAAGCGGUGGAGCAUGUGGUUUAAUUCGACGCAACGCGAAGAACCUUACCAAGGCUUGACAUUUUACUGAAAGCUGUAGAGAUACAGCCUCUCUUCGGAGCAGUGUAAACAGGUGGUGCAUGGUUGUCGUCAGCUCGUGUCGUGAGAUGUUGGGUUAAGUCCCGCAACGAGCGCAACCCUUAUCCUUAGUAGCCAUCGGGGUAAAGCCGGGCACUCUGGGGAGACUGCCGUGGAUAACACGGAGGAAGGUGGGGAUGAUGUCAAAUCAUCAUGCCCCUUAUGUCUUGGGCAACACACGUGCUACAAUGGCUGCAACAAAGUGACGCGAAAGGGCGACCUUAAGCAAAGCACAAAAAGCAGUCUCAGUUCGGAUUGUAGUCUGCAACUCGACUACAUGAAGCUGGAAUCGCUAGUAAUCGCGAAUCAGCAUGUCG
rnacentral:rRNA from 1 species